rnacentral:rRNA from 1 species
AACGCUGGCGGCGUGCCUAACACAUGCAAGUCGAACGGACUGAUUUGAGAGCUUGCUCCUGAAGAAAGUUAGUGGCGGACGGGUGAGUAACGCGUGAGUAACCUGCCUUUCAGAGGGGGAUAACAUUCUGAAAAGGAUGCUAAUACCGCAUAAUGUCACAGUAUCGCAUGGUACAGCGAUCAAAGGAGCAAUCCGCUGAAAGAUGGACUCGCGUCCGAUUAGCUAGUUGGCGGGAUAAAGGCCCACCAAGGCGACGAUCGGUAGCCGGACUGAGAGGUUGAUCGGCCACAUUGGGACUGAGACACGGCCCAGACUCCUACGGGAGGCAGCAGUGGGGGAUAUUGCACAAUGGGGGAAACCCUGAUGCAGCAACGCCGCGUGAAGGAAGAAGGUCUUCGGAUUGUAAACUUCUGUCCUCAGGGAAGAUAAUGACGGUACCUGAGGAGGAAGCUCCGGCUAACUACGUGCCAGCAGCCGCGGUAA